GUGUCAGCAGCCGCGGUAAGACGAACCGUGCGAACGUUGUUCGGAAUCACUGGGCUUAAAGGGCGCGUAGGCGGCAUAGCGAGUCCGGGGUGAAAUCCUUCGGCCCAACCGGAGACGGGCCUCGGAGACCGCUAGGCUCGAGGGGGGCAGGGGCAGGUGGAACUUCCGGUGGAGCGGUGAAAUGCGUUGAGAUCGGAAGGAACGCCGGCGGCGAAAGCGACCUGCUGGGCCCCUCCUGACGCUGAGGCGCGAAAGCCAGGGGAGCGAACGGGAUUAGAUACCCCGGUAGUCCUGGCCCUAAACGAUGGGUACCAGGCAGAGGACCCGACACAGGUUCCCUGCCGGAGCUAAAGUGCUAAGUACCCCGCCUGGGGAGUAUGGUCGCAAGGCUGAA
rnacentral:rRNA from 1 species